rnacentral:rRNA from 1 species
GAUGAACGCUAGCGGCAGGCCUAAUACAUGCAAGUCGGACGGGAUUCCGGAGCUUGCUUCUGCUGAGAGUGGCGCACGGGUGCGUAACACGUAUGUAACCUACCUUUAUCAGGGGGAUAGCCUCUCGAACGAGAGAUUAAGCCCGCAUAAAAUCACAGCACAGCAUUGUGUAAUGAUCAAAUAUUUAUAGGAUAAAGAUGGGCAUGCGGAACAUUAGCUAGAUGGCGGGGUAACGGCCCACCAUUGCGACGAUGUUUAGGGGAUCUGAGAGGAUGGCCCCCCACACGAGUACUGAGACACAGACCAGACUUCAGCGGCAGGCAGCAGUAAUGAAGAUUGGACCAGUGGCGGAUGCCGGAACCAGCCAUGCCGCGUGCAGGAAGACGGCCCUGCGGGUUGUAAACUGCUUUGAGACGGAAAUAAACCCAGACACGGGUAUCUGGCUGAAUGUACUGUAAGAAUAAGGAUCGGCUAACUCCG